rnacentral:rRNA from 1 species
UACGGAGGGGACUAGCGUUGUUCGGAAUUACUGGGCGUAAAGCGCACGUAGGCGGGUUCUUAAGUCAGAGGUGAAAUCCUGGAGCUCAACUCCAGAACUGCCUUUGAUACUGAGAGUCUUGAGUUCGGGAGAGGUGAGUGGAACUGCGAGUGUAGAGGUGAAAUUCGUAGAUAUUCGCAAGAACACCAGUGGCGAAGGCGGCUCACUGGCCCGAUACUGACGCUGAGGCACGAAAGCGUGGGGAGCAAACAGG